UUCAAACGAGGCUUGUGGAGAGUAUU
rnacentral:piRNA from 1 species